rnacentral:rRNA from 1 species
GACGAACGCUGGCGGCGUGCUUAACACAUGCAAGUCGAACGGUAAGGCCCUUCGGGGUACACGAGUGGCGAACGGGUGAGUAACACGUGGGUGAUCUGCCCUGCACUUCGGGAUAAGCCUGGGAAACUGGGUCUAAUACCGGAUAGGACCCUGGGAUGCAUGUCCUGGGGUGGAAAGCUUUUGCGGUGUGGGAUGGGCCCGCGGCCUAUCAGCUUGUUGGUGGGGUGAUGGCCUACCAAGGCGACGACGGGUAGCCGGCCUGAGAGGGUGACCGGCCGCACUGGGACUGAGAUACGGCCCAGACUCCUGCGGGAGGCAGCGGUGGGGAAUAUUGCACAAUGGGCGCAAGCCUGAUGCAGCGACGCCGCGUGAGGGAUGACGGCCUUCGGGUUGUAAACCUCUUUCAGCACCGACGAAGCGCAAGUGACGGUAGGUGCAGAAGAAGGACCGGCCAACUACGUGCCAGCCGCCGCCGUAA